AGGCAACCUGGGCUGCAUUGAUAUGCGCGGUGGAGGGAGCAGGGGAUGCCGCCUGCCUCUGGAGCGUCAGCGUGGGGCACGACUUCCCUCCAGCACCCCUCUCAACAACACACAUACAUACACUCGCAUACUCCUCACACCAGCACUCGCGCAGCCAGCAGCUCCUUGGCAACACUAGAGGAGAAGAGCCUUUCUGCCUCUUCUCUCACCAUCCUCUUCCUCUGUUCUUCUCAAAGUGACGAAACUAGUUACAUAGUUUUGUUUUUGCUUCUCAACAAGCUAGAAACUCUUUGAUGGUGUAGAGUCACAGUGGAGUGAAGCCUGACAUGAAAUUAUUACCAAGUUUGUGGUGAGUAUCCUUCAGCUCUGUGGAGAAAAGAAAAGAGAUUUGCCGUCUUGUGCGUGGGUUUAUCCAAUUAAAAAGAGGACGAUUGUACUAAGCAUGUGAUUCAGCCUUGCUCCUUUCUGCUGCUCCUCUCUGCUCAACAUCAACUCAGACGCCGAAGAAGAAGAAGAAGACAAGAUGCAGUUCAAGCUUGUAUAAGCUGUGUUCAAGAAACUGAUGACAGCUAAACUCAGGCACAAGUGAGAUGAAACAGGGCAGGAGAUCUCAGACCUGCCUUGAGGAGCAACCAAAAACACAAAGCCUGAAAGUGGGCAAACUGGAAGACCCCACAGCUCGUUUUCAUUCUGGAACUCCAUCCCAGCUAAAGGAUGAGUGGAGCCAAGUUGUCUCUUAGUUGCCAGGGAUGUCUACAAACUCCGAGAAGGCAAUUCCCCCCAGCAUGUCCAGUGCUAUGUUCCUCCUGAUGCUGUGCAAGAUUGGCCUGAGAGACAGACUGCAGACUACUUCAGAGAAAAUGGUAAACACUUCUUUCAGUGAUGAGGAAAAAGGAAUUCAAGACAAGGAAAGCAAAGAAGAGUCCAUUCUGGCCAUGCUAGGCAUUAUCGGGACGAUCCUCAACUUGGUUGUCAUCAUCUUCGUGUACAUCUACACAACCCUGUAAUAAUCAAUAACCUGCAAUAGCUCCGUGUGGGGUAGCAGUGCUGAACUUCAUCAUCUUCAUCAUGAUCUGUGCCAAGAUGUUAAACCUGGUUCACAUCACUGACUCCAUGACAGACCACAGAUAUCAUCAGGUGUACGGAAAAUUCCCUCAAUAUCUUAAUAUCUCAUGGCAGUUGAAGAGACGAAUGUUGAGACUUGUGUUGGAUACUGGCUCCAUCACUGUCUGCAGCAGAGGAUACGGUUAGGAAGGUCAUUACCUGUAAAUAAGAAGGAAGAAGGACUUUUUUCCAUCCAAUAGGAGCUUGGCAUCUACAAACUUCUGAACCAGAGAGGAAUAAUAAAAUGUCUGUGCAUGAAAAAUGUUCAUAGCUGAGGCGUCUGAGCCCUUUGACUCGACACUGUAUGGCCCUCAAAGUGGUAUGAUUCUAUUGUUGACAUUAUAACCGGAAGAUUUAGAGGACAGACUAAGAUUACUUGCACUCCUUUUCAGGAAUUAUACUGGCAAUUUUGCAAGAUUACUUGCACUCCUUUUCUGGAAUUAUACUGGCAAUUUUGUUUACAAUAUUUUUUUUACAAGAACAUAGUUCCAACCACAGUUGUUUGGUUGGCAGUGUUACGAUGAACAGUUAAAAACAAACAAAAAAGUUUGGAAUAUUUGAUAUACCUCUGAGUAAUAUCUCCAUAUUUAUAAUAAUCUUUUUUAUGACAGUGAUAUCUUGCUAUAAAAAGGCUAAAGUUAACUAUACAACUGAAAGGAACUUUAAAUAAGUCCAAGAGAGACACUAUAUUGUCCAAUUUGUAAAGACUUGUGUUAGCAUAUCUGUUAUAUACUGUUAUAUACCACACCCUUCUUAUAUGGGGUGAAGAAAUGAGUGCGGUUGGUAUUCCUGCUAUUGACUUUUGCAGUUUCUUGAGUGUCUAAAUCAAUGUACAAUGUAUGACUUAGUUCUUAGAGGUAUGGAAAUGUAGAAGCUCAAAAAAAGUAGACAUUUUUGUGUUACUCUAAAACUGUGCAAUAUCAUUCAUGGUAUACAUUAUGUACAGUAUAUAUUGCCUUAAGAGAGAGACAUCAUUUCCAUAUUCUGUAUUGUGGCCAUUUGCAUCCUUUGGAACCAGACUUUUAUCCUGUUCUACAUGGUGAGAUGCCAUUUUAAAGAAGCCCAUUUUAAAUGGAAAUUAUACAUACAAAAUCAGCAGGACUGUGACAACGGACCGUUUAGAUGAAUGUCAUCAGAGCCAAACCUCUUCUGCAUAUACUGUGUAAUCUGCAGCUUUUAUCACACAGCAUCAGUAUGAAACCUGCACUGAUGACAAAAGCACAACAGAAGAGGUAAUAUGUGCAGAAUGAAUGUAUAUACAUUAUGUAUGCAUGUGGAGUAUUUUUCUUCUCAUAUGAGAAACCCAUAUGAAACACAUUUGUCACCUCAUUAAGUGCCUGUGUCUCAGUAAGAAAUUUUCCAAUUAUUUGUAUGAUAGAAGACCUACAUAUUACAUCAUCUUCAAGAUCUGUAUCAGCUUUAAUGAGAAUUUGCUCGGUUACAACUCAAUCUUCCACUGAAGGCAUGAACAUUUGUAUGACGUUUGCAUAGUUUUAGGCUAAUUUACCUAUGAAUAAGGGGAGCUCAGCAAUGAAAACUCAAUCCAUUGACUGGACGAUUCAAAUUUUAUUGAAAAGGUUUUUAUUUUAACACAUAGUAUUUAUAUUCAGUGCUGAUCAUUUGCUUAUGUUUAAUUUUGUCAUUAUGGUAUAAAUUGGCCCACAAUAAAAAAAAGGAAAGUACUACAGCUACAGUGCUUCCAAUUUGCAAAUGAUCACAGUUAACUCUGGAGUAAGUUCGGACUCUCCUGGACGCUGAUCUGAAAGUAUCAGGAAAAUGUGCUCACAUUUUCUUUCAAUUAGCGAUGAUGCUGUCUGAUGGAUAUAUUUCAUGAUGUAUCUGUUCAUGAAUCAACUUCACUUUUGUGUUGAUUUAGUAAAAAUGAUGACAUUUGAGUAAAAAUAUUGCCAGGCUGUA